rnacentral:rRNA from 1 species
GAUGAACGCUGGCGGCGUGCUUAACACAUGCCAGUCGAACGAAGCAUUUAAGACAGAUUACUUCGGUUUGAAGUCUUUUAUGACUGAGUGGCGGACGGGUGAGUAACGCGUGGGUAACCUGCCUCAUACAGGGGGAUAGCAGCUGGAAACGGCUGGUAAUACCGCAUAAGCGCACAGUACCACAUGGUACAGUGUGAAAAACUCCGGUGGUAUGAGAUGGACCCGCGUCUGAUUAGCUUGUUGGCGGGGUAACGGCCCACCAAGGCGACGAUCAGUAGCCGACCUGAGAGGGUGACCGGCCACAUUGGGACUGAGACACGGCCCAGACUCCUACGGGAGGCAGCAGUGGGGAAUAUUGCACAAUGGAGGAAACUCUGAUGCAGCGACGCCGCGUGAGUGAAGAAGUAGUUCGCUAUGUAAAGCUCUAUCAGCAGGGAAGAUAGUGACGGUACCUGACUAAGAAGCUCCGGCUAAAUACGUG